rnacentral:lncRNA from 1 species
GGAAACAAGAACCCUUCCAAGAGCUUCCCUGGGAGCCCAGAGCCUGAGGCAGUAACGAAGCUCCUGGAAGCACAGCUGCCAAGAGGACUUCUGGGGUCCCUCCCCAGUGGACAGGACCUCAGACUGCCCACCCACGAGGCUGAGCAGGGUGGCCCUAGACCCAGCACCAUCUUCAAUCAGCUCAUCCACUGGCAUCCCCCACCAUCGUCCCCUCAACAUGCACAGGAUGCCAGCCACCCAGGCCAGUUCCUGAAGUGAAGCAAGCAAGGGGGGGUACUCGUCCCCGCCCAGCCCAGAGCUCAGAUUGC